UACGUAGGCAGCGAGCGUUGUUCGGAAUUACUGGGCGUAAAGAGUGUGUAGGCGGUGCUCUAAGUUCGGUGUGAAAUCUCCCGGCUUAACUGGGAGGGUGCGCCGGAAACUGGAGUGCUCGAGCGUGGGAGAGGAAAGCGGAAUUCCUGGUGUAGCGGUGAAAUGCGUAGAUAUCAGGAGGAACACCUGCGGUGUAGACGGCUUUCUGGACCAUUGCUGACGCUGAGUCACGAAAGCGUGGGGAGCAAACAGG
rnacentral:rRNA from 1 species